rnacentral:rRNA from 1 species
GACGAACGUUGGCGGCGUGCCUAAUACAUGCAAGUUGAGCGCUGAAGGUUGGUACUUGUACCAACUGGAUGAGCAGCGAACGGGUGAGUAACGCGUGGGGAAUCUGCCUUUGAGCGGGGGACAACAUUUGGAAACGAAUGCUAAUACCGCAUAAAAACUUUAAACACAAGUUUUAAGUUUGAAAGAUGCAAUUGCAUCACUCAAAGAUGAUCCCGCGUUGUAUUAGCUAGUUGGUGAGGUAAAGGCUCACCAAGGCGAUGAUACAUAGCCGACCUGAGAGGGUGAUCGGCCACAUUGGGACUGAGACACGGCCCAAACGCCUACGGGAGGCAGCAGUAGGGAAUCUUCGGCAAUGGACGAAAGUCUGACCGAGCAACGCCGCGUGAGUGAAGAAGGUUUUCGGAUCGUAAAACUCUGUUGGUAGAGAAGAACGUUGGUGAGAGUGGAAAGCUCAUCAAGUGACGGUAACUACCCAGAAAGGGACGGCUAACUACGUG